UACGGGGGGGCAAGCGUUGUUCGGAAUUACUGGGCGUAAAGGGCUCGUAGGCGGCCAACUAAGUCGGAUGUGAAAUCCCCAGGCUCAACCUGGGAACUGCAUCCGAUACUGGAUGGCUUGAAUCCGGGAGAGGGAUGCAGAAUUCCAGGUGUAGCGGUGAAAUGCGUAGAUAUCUGGAGGAACACCGGUGGCGAAGGCGGCAUCCUGGACCGACACUGACGCUGAGGAGCGAAAGCCAGGGGAGCAACGGG
rnacentral:rRNA from 1 species